CAACAGGUUGAUUUCAUAGAAACGUGAGUGAGACCAUUUUGGCAUACAGUACAGAUAAUCCAUGUAAGUACAGAAGUUGCUAAGUUUUAAUCCCUCCCACCACCCAGUCACAAACCAACCCGCCGGUUAACAACCCUUCCCUCCCGUUCGCCCUCCCACGGACACGUAACACAGAAAAAACAGAAAGAGUAAAAGUUUACAGGAGCACAAAACAAGGCACCAAUAAAUUAAAAUUAAACCCCUCUUUUUUUAAAAAACACACGACAACAAAAUCUAUUGAACAGAAUUAAAUACAGUAUGAACACUAAAAAUCUGCAAGGCUGUUAAAAAGCAAAAUAAAAAAGGAAAAACAAAAAGAACGGACAGGAAAGUAAAAUAAAAACACUUUGGCAGAUUAUUAAUUUUAGUUACAAUCAAGUAGUAAAUAAAUCCAGUGCUCUUGUGUACAAAUAAAUUCAUAUAUAGUCUACACUCCUUUUAACCCCAGAGGUUUAUGUACAUCUUUUUUUACAGAUACAUUUAAAACAUUAUCAAAAAGUUUUUGCUGUAUGAAAAGGUAUUUACAAGUCACGAUUCAAAACCAUUGGACUGUACCAUUGGACCCCCCCUCCCCUUUAAUUCCCCCCUCCUAAGAACGGUAUCUCUUUACACAGUGCAGAAGGCUUCUUGAAAAGUUUUGUGCAACAAACAGCGUAAAAAAAUGCCUGUCGUAUGGCUGUGGAAUGGACAGAGGCCUGAAGGGGGUUGAGAUUUCCUUGACGGCGAUGACACAUUGGCAACAUUUUGAGUGGAUGCAGGUGGACAGGUUUGCGAAAACUGAGCCGAGAGUUUCGUAAAUUUGUGAUGAUGUUCCCCGACUUCAAUCACCGCAUCAGUAAAAUGUCAAAAUCUGUGUCUGUGAUGUUACUCAUCAAAAUAUUGCCUGUGAAUGUCAUCAUCCCAACCCAUAAAAUGAAUUCCACACACAGAUUUCACUAAGUCCCCUUAGCUGUCUUCUCCCCCCCAACCCUUCAUUUUUACAAUGACUGGUAGAAAAAUGUAGGCGACUGAACACUGCCCUUCAAGUAAUCAAACAUCAAGAAGAUCAAAUAUGAAACCGAGAACAAGUUUGGUGAGGAGAGAAAGAGAGAGAGAGAGAGAGAAACAACGACGACGACUCACAGACUAACAGUCCAAAAACACAUGAUAAUAAGAGGAAGCAGUUUUUGAAGGAAAGUCACAUGGUCAACAAGAGCUAAUGUCCAGGCAGGUAGAGUCAAUGAGGGCUUCUUCCACAGUCAAAACUGCAGCCGGGUGUGGGGGGUGGCGGUGGUGGUCUCUGUGGGGGGCUGCUUCUCUUGUUCGCUGGUUCACAAUCGGGAGUUUUUUCAGCUCAAGGGGUUUCAUGUUUGGGACUCAGAGUGAAGUCCUCCAGUGUUUUUUUUUUUCUUGCUUUCUUCCAGUGUUUGUACGUCUGUCUACCCACAAACUGAUAGCCCUUGCCAAAGAAAAGAUGUCAAUGAUGAAGAAGAUGAAGAUGGAAAGGCAAGAAGAUGAGCCAGAGGCUUUGCUGUUUAUGCUAAAAUUCAGUAGUACUACAUCUACGGACAGACCUCUGAGUGCUCGAGGUGAAGCAGUGGAUGGAUGUGAGUGAAGUUAGAGAGGAGUCAGUGUUUUCUGGUUAAAGCAGCACGAGUCAGAUUCUCUGCUCAGAUUGGAGACAACUGUUAAAAAAGAGGGAGAGGAAGAGAAGGACGAGUAACAGGAGCGUUAAAAACAAGGAGCACAAAUCAGAGACACUACAACUACAGCAUAGGAUUGGAUUAUGGAUUAUUAUGGCUGUUAGAAUUUAAUAACAAGCUAAUAAUGUAGCAAUCAAGCUAUAAAACGAAUGUUAUCCUGGUAGUGACCCACUCUGAGAGCAUCAGGAUUAUUGGAACUGCUAUUCUCAGUCUGAACAACAAAGAGUUCAACGACCUAACGAAUCAUGAUAUCUACUGGUCGACACAAAAGCUUCAGAAACUAUCAACAAGUGUGUAUAUCAAAGAUUAGAAACAUGAAAACUUUACAAAUCUGUAUUAUUCAUAUCUAUGUCCAAACACUUCGUAUCCUGCUGAGGUUUAGUUGAGGUUUUCUAUGCAACGCACUUAUGCUGUUCAACUUACAGGUGUAAAGAAGAGGAUUAGGGUUACUGGAAAAAAAAGAAAAUGAGGUCCAGUGUAAAUAUUUUUUUAUAAUUAUUCCAAGAAAAAAGUCAGAAUUACAAGAAAAAAAGUCUGAAUUACUAGAAAAUAGUCCAAAUUCUGACUUUAAUCUCAGAAUUCUGACUUUUUUCCUCAGAAUAAUAAUAAAAAAACAUAUAUAGAUUGGACCAUUUUUUCCCCCAGUGUACCUAAUCCUCUUCCGUACAAAACCCAUUGUGCAAACUGUGGUGCUAAGUUUGCAGUUUCAGUGUGACUGAGACAUUUAUAUUCCAGAGUAAACUGAUCAACAACUACGAUAUCCAUAAAUGCCAGUCCAUCUACGAAAACUUGGAUUAAGUGCGAUUUCAGUCAGACUGACAUGUUGGUAUGCAUUUUAAAAGUCCAGUUUCAGCUGGACUAACUUGUUCAUGUUAAAACAGUGAGAGCGUAUUUUCCACUCAAACCAAAUGCAGCAGUUUUUCAGUGCUCAGCAUUAACGGUGCAAAAAUGGCCACAAUAUCACAGUAUCAGCUGUUUUUGUUGCUGCAAUCUAAGUUGAAAAUAGUUAAACUUUUGAACCUCGCCAAACUUAACAAUGUCACCUCUUGAUCACCGAAUAAUCAGAUUUAAGAGGGGGCGGGGCUUCUGAUAUCCUCGCCAUCAACAGUGACAGUGGAUAGCGGAGACUUUCACAGUCUGAAGCUGCGGCUAAUGCCAAUAAUUUUCUGCACAACACAACAAAUUUAGUAAACAACCCUCAGUGUCAAACACUUUUUGAUAUGUCGUCACUUGAAUGUGUCAAAUAUGUCUUUUCCCCCCUCAAGCUUUAUGGAUAUUAUCGUAGCAACAUGAUCUAUGUCACUAAAUUGUUGUAGUAACAUUGAGAAUAGAUGACGUUAUGCUUGUGUUACAGCUUAUAAAAGUUUGAUCUUAAAACUGCUCUUAAAAAUGGCUCCAGAUCAGCAGUUGGAGUCUCUGAAAUUCAGUCUGAGGUUUUAAGAGUGACGUGAACUUAACGCACAACAAGCUAAAGUUUCUGCAUCAGUAAAAGUAAAACUUAUGCUGAAGUAUGAAGUAAAAUUGUGCUAGAUUUUGUGGUUCACAUGCAACAAUGUUGUUAACACUGGAAAAGUAUUACAGUAACUAAAAGUACAGAUACACACAGACAGUGCUCAACUUCACCCCAAUACAAGCAGCCUGUUUCCUGAAGAGUAAACUAUAACCACUCUGCCAUUAAAACAUGAAUUAGCUUCGACACAGCAGCUGAAAGUGUGGAUGAAGAUUCUGCUCCAUAUGAUGAAUGACUGGCGUUCCUUCCUGGACUUUCUGAACCACCUUCAGUGGAGACCACUACCCUCAAGGUGGCCUUGAGGUUGACCGGCCAAUCUGUCUUCCCACUGUAGAAAUAAUAACUUUGCUUCAAUGCCACGCUCAGCCACCUCAAUAAAUAAGCAAUUUAUUCUCCAACUCUCAGCAUGGAACUCCAUUAGACCUGCAGCAAAUGUGGACAUGAAGGAAACUAUGUGGAGUACAGAGCCCACUCCAUGUUUGGGGAGUUCUUUAAUGUAAAAUUCACAAAGAUAUCUGACCUGUGGCAUCUUUUUUCAGCAUCUUGCAUCAUCUUCAUCCCUCUUUAAAGACUUUGCUUUAACUUUUUUGUUAACAAUAUGAUCAUAUUGAUUCAAACAGGCGUAAUAACCCCCUGAUAAUAUUAGAAAUGACACAAGCUGAUGCCAGAUUGAAGCUGUGCCACUUUAUACUGUUUCAUGCCUGCCAAUCAGAAAAUCUGCCAAAAAAACCCUGCAGGAAGCAGCCAAACCUGUCCAGGAUCAAGCUGUGCUGAGUCACAGUCCUCCCCACCGUGUAAUGUGUUUUAUUUUUCCUCAUUUAUUCGGGGUUAAGAUGAAAGGAAAAAGAGCUUAGAUAUAGGGGAGAGCAGAGCUGGGGAGGAAUAUUUUCUACCUGUCUAAGAUGCCAGUUGUCACAUAGUAUAAGACGUACAAAUCCCCCACAGUGCAUCAUAAACACAGUGGGGGAGGAGAGGGCUUUUUUUCUGAGGGGGGUGAGCAGACUGAAUGUCAGGGUGCUGCGAUACAACAUCAGCAGAACUCAAAAUAAAUGACCCAGCAUUCAUCUUCCUAGCACAAACCUGCUCGCCUAAGGUGCAGUCUAAAUCCUGGCAGUCAUUUCCUGCCAACCUGCGUCUCUGUCUUUCCUCUUCCCCUGUGGGUUAAGCAAGCAUCCACGCUGAGUAAACCUUUUCAGGAGACAGGGAGAACCAUGAAUAAUAACCACCAUUCAUCAACUGUGUGUUUUUAUGCACAAACUGUCGGCAUAAUUAGAUGGAGACAUAUGCUGAGCCUGUUUUGGAAGACUUUACUGUUUGCAUCUGUACUUUUUUUCUGUACAUUUAUCAGGGUUUGGAAAAAAUAAGCAUGUAACACAACAGCACCUCUGAGUCCAAUGAUGCUGAAAUGGGACUUUGUUAUUCUAAAAAUGGAAGACUAGUUUUGCAUGAAGAGACAGAUGGUUAAAAAAGUCUGCUCUCUGAGAUAAAAACAUUUCCAUCACAGGAACCGUCACCAGGGAAAAAGGGACUUUUUGAGGUUUAACUUACAAAAACACUGCGCAGUUUACGCCCCAACACAGCAAUAAAGCUGCACAAAUGAGCAAAAAGACAUUGCCUGAUUUCCUAAGUAUGCGCAAAGGGUUAAACGCUCCCUGAAUUGGACUACAAAUAGUGUCUCUGGGCACUGGUGAUUUCUGCAUUCAUUUAAAUGAGCCCUUAGCCAUUCAUUUGGAGCUGAUUUUAUAUGCAAGCCUGGUCACAAACACCAAAACGCCAAACUGGCUUAUGCAAGAGCCAAGAGUCAUUCACAGUUGGACUAAAACUUUUAACAUCUGCUGAAAGUGUCUGCAAUGAUUAUGGCAACAAUUUCACCUCUGCAUGAUGAAAAAUGAAUAUAUAUACGUACAUCAGGAGUUUAAUCAGUCUUGGCUGUCUGUGGCUCCACACAUCUGCACCAAAAAGCUGUGCUAGGACGUACGACUGAGUUUUCUUUUUUCUAUCUGCUGCUUUGUUCAAGCUCGCUUAGUUAGACAAACAUAGUUAGACAAACAUAAACCAUAAAUUUGUGUUGCAUCUGUCAUGAACUGUCUCCACAAUAAACUGCGAAGGACUUUCUCUCUCCAUCCAUUGAGUGCUGUCAGGAUUAGAGUGUCCAGCGCAGCCCUGCACAGUUAAAGGGCAGGAAGCAAAAGGCGGAGAUGUAGACUCCAAAAUCAGGCAACUGGACUGUGACAUAGUCCAGU